UAGAAAGCGAAAGAAAGAAACAUUUAUACAUACAAGUAUAUACACACACGCUCAUACAGAGACAUUUAUAUAUGUAGUAACAACAAGACUGGGUUCUAUUUUUUUUUCUGGGGUGCCUCUUCAUGCUCUUACUGUGAACCAAUUUUUCUGUUACAGCACCGCCAACAUUUACACCAACAUACACACCAUAAUGUAUACAUAGAUACAUAUAUAUAUAUAUAUAAAACAUAUAUACACAGAAAGUACAUAUAUAUAUAUAUAAUGUACAAACACACCAACUAGUACCACUUGGAAAAUAUACAUAUACACAGGUUCAUAUAUAUAUGUUUUGCAUGUCUAUAGACUUAAAACCGAACUCUUACUAUUAUUAUAUAUGCCUUUAAACCUUACAGAUUUGGAAUAUAACGAACUAUAUACACCCGGAAAAAAAAGGAAAACCUUACUAUUCAGAAUUUAAACUUUAUAUACUCACACACAACCACACAUAAACACCAUUUUAAAAAUACACACAUAUAUAUAUAACUCAAGUAUUUACAAUACUAUAAAUAGCCAGAAUUUCUUCAAACUCUGCGUUUAAUAUUAUACACGCUCGUACACUUCUGAUUAAUUAAACAUACAUACAUUAUAUAUAUAUAUAUAUAUAUAUAUAUAUCCGCACAUAACAUGUUUAUUUGUGUUUCUGUGGUGAUUUUAUAAAUAUUAGAUGGUUUAGACUUUCUAAGAAAAUUCUUGUUCAACUCACUACUACCACCAAAAGCAGUAUGUAUGCGAUACAGUGUGUAUAUUAUUUAUAUGUGUAUAUAUUAUAACAAAACAGUUACCAAAUACCAAUUCUAACAGCACCAAUAUUAACAGUAAGUUAUAAUAAUGAAGAUAAUGGUUAUGAUAACAACAGGAACUUUAAUAACUACAUCGAUUUAUUAAAGUGGACUGUUGUUAUACUAAGAGUAUAUAUAUGUAUAUAUAGAAUAUAGUUAUAUAUAUACACACUCAUAUAUUGAUUAUAGUGAUAGUUAUGUUGACGAUGAUGAUGAUGACGUUGAUGUUGAUGAUGAUAGUAAUGAUGAUGAUGAUGACGCUAGUGAUGAUGAAGGCUGCUACCACGUCAAUGACCUGAUAAAUCCACUUCGUUUCUGUUUGUCAGACACGACAACGCUCUGAAAGCCAAAUGAAUUUGCCACCUUUGCGCUAAGUAGUCUUCUCAUCACUAUUUCUGUAAGUACAAAUGGAUGAAGAUA